UGUGAGCUCCUCUUAUCA
rnacentral:tRNA from 1 species